rnacentral:rRNA from 1 species
CAAUCAAGUGCCUUAAGGGUGUUCGGUGGAUGCCUUGGCGCUGAGAGGCGAUGAAGGACGUGCUACGCUGCGAUAAGCCGUGGGGAGCUGCGAAGAAGCUUUGAUCCAUGGAUUUCCGAAUGGGGAAACCCACCUUCGAUAGCCGGAACUCCAAGACCUUUGUCGAAAGACAUCGGUGUGGGGUUUGAACAGAAAUGUGAGAUGCCUAGACCUUUAGAUUUCGAUCGAAGAGGUUUUGGAUUUCCGGUUAUCAAGAGAAGGUAUGAGACUUCUGAAUACAUAGGAGGUUUCAAGCAAACCCAGGGAACUGAAACAUCUAAGUACCUGGAGGAAAGGACAUCAACAGAG